rnacentral:tRNA from 1 species
GGAGGGAUGCCGGAGCGGUCAAACGGGCCCGCCUGGAAAGCGGCGCGGGGUAAAACCCACGGGAGUUCGAAUCUCCCUCCCUCCGCCA